AACAGAUCCCAGAUUAUUCCAGACUUAAGACAUGGAGAUAUAUCUUGCUAGAGGUAGGAAGAUGAUAAGAUCAGUUUCUAUAGGUAGAGGAUAAUGUGUCCUAAAAUGUAGGUAGAGAUAAGUCUGACAGUGGUUUAGACAAAAAGGGCCUCUGCUAAUGGUGGAGAGAUCAAGGAAGAAAAGAGCAACGUUAAAGUGAGGCUGUACCCACAGAUCAUGCUCAAGCAAAUUCGAACCUGUAAGAUGAAAGAGGACCUGCCCUCCAUUCUAUCUACUCCCUCUCUGCAAAGGCCAUUUUGAAGAUCUCAGUUUUACUGAAAGGGGUCUGCCACACAUAACUUCCCUGGUGUACCAGCAACAAGUGUUCAGUGGACCAUGGCAACACAAAGAAUGACGGAGGAGAGAAAAUGCCAUGCAGAAGUGAUAGUCAAGAUGAAGAUGUGGGAGAGGAGCAGCCCCCAGUAUAUAUUCAGUGUGUCCUCUGAAGUAACAACCAUCCCAUCUGGCUGAGAAGUGAUGGACACGGCUCCUUAACCACACUGUACCCUCUGUUCUUGGCACCUCUCUACCAG
rnacentral:lncRNA from 1 species